AAUUUUGCCGAUAUCGGUUUUACAAUGAUAUAUAUAUACAGAGUGACAGAGGGAGUAUUGCAGGACAAAGUAUGAGAUUUAUUUAGAAGUACAUGUUGUUCCCUACAACCGCUAUAUAACAACAGUUGGGGGAGAUUUUAAUUACACAUAUACAUGUAUGACGUGAUUUAAGUUAUUGUUUUAUGCAUUUAAUCUUCACUUUUUGUAAUUUAUUUAGGAACUAUAAUAUUUUUACUGGUAUUCGAAUCAGACAUGUACUUCAAUUAAGAAAACUCUAUGGUGGACAAUUUAAAAUUUUCAAUAUCAGGAGUUAUACAUCGCAAAAUUUGUGAAGUGUUAGAAAGGAAGGUAAUAUUUCAACAAUGAAUAAAAAGCGUAAAUGAAGCCGUUUUUCAAUGAGACCACUUCAGAUACAUUACAAGAAACCAGACAAUCGAUGCUAUGGUUACCAUAUGUGAUAAUUACAGUUGUUUGUCUUAUAUUCCUUGCCAUCAACUUUUGGUUUUAUCACAGAAAACGCCGCCUACAAUAUGAGAGAAAAUCAGAAGUUCUCGAAACUAGGGAGCGUGUUAGGGAACGCCGAGUUAUUCUUAAUAUGGUCAAAGCUAAAUACCAAACAUAUCUUGUUGAUGAAAACGACACACCUAAAGAUGAAAAUGGUAUCGUCCAUUCAAAUUCAAUGCCUUUUAUAUCAAAUGGACAAGGAGUUGCCAAUGUAUAAUACAUAGGGUGAUAACAAUGGGUGACGAUAUGUGAUAUAUUAUUUUAGAUGGAACAGAGAAGUUAUAUUGUGAUAUUGUGUUUUCUCGCAGUAAUGGAUUGCAUUCAAUAUUAUUUCUUACACAGGAAUUAAUGACAAGUUACCGUUUGGGUUUAAUUCAUUCUUCAAAAAGUAUCUUUAUCUAUAAAUUUGGUUAUUUAAGUGAAAGCAUUAAGAAUAAUAAUCUUACCAGUUAUUAAGUGCAUGCAUGCAUU